rnacentral:rRNA from 1 species
AUCGAACGCUGGCGGCAUGCCUUACACAUGCAAGUCGAACGGCAGCACGGGGCAACCUGGUGGCGAGUGGCGAACGGGUGGGUAAUGCAUCGGAACGUACCUUUCAGUGGGGGAUAACGUAGCGAAAGUUACGCUAAUACCGCAUAUUCUGUGCGCAGGAAAGCAGGGGAUCGCAAGACCUUGCGCUGAUUGAGCGGCCGAUGUCAGAUUAGCUAGUUGGUGAGGUAAAGGCUCACCAAGGCGACGAUCUGUAGCGGGUCUGACAGGAUGAUCCGCCACACGGGAACUGGGACACGGUCCAGACUCCUGCGGGAGGCAGCAGUGGGGAAUUUUGGACAAGGGGGACAACCCUGAUCCAGCCAUGCCGCGUGAGUGAAGAAGGCCUUCGGGUUGUAAAGCUCUUUCGGCCGGGAAGAAAUCGCACGGGCUAAUACCCUGUGUGGAUGACGGUACCGGAAUAAGAAGCACCGGCUAACUACGUGCCAGCCGCCGCCGUAAGAC